rnacentral:rRNA from 1 species
AACGAACGCUGGCGGCAGGCUUAACACAUGCAAGUCGAGCGCCCCGCAAGGGGAGCGGCAGACGGGUGAGUAACGCGUGGGAAUCUACCCAUCUCUACGGAAUAACGCAUGGAAACGUGUGCUAAUACCGUAUACGUCCUUCGGGAGAAAGAUUUAUCGGAGAUGGAUGAGCCCGCGUUGGAUUAGCUAGUUGGUGGGGUAAAGGCCUACCAAGGCGACGAUCAGUAGCUGGUCUGAGAGGACGAUCAGCCACACUGGGACUGAGACACGGCCCAGACUCCUACGGGAGGCAGCAGUGGGGAAUCUUAGACAAUGGGCGCAAGCUUGAUCUAGCCAUGCCGCGUGGAUGAAGAAGGCCUUAGGGUCGUAAAGUCCUUUCGCUGGGGAAGAUAAUGACGGUACCCAGUAAAGAAACCCCGGCUAACUCCGUGCCAGCCGCCGCGGUAAUAC